UGGGGGCACAAUGAAACAAGGGGCACAAUGAAACAGUGGUUGUUUCCUCCAUAUUUGAAAUAACAGACUGGUGGCACUAGUGGUGGUUGGGAUCUGUACUACAACAUAGAACAUUGGAGCAAGUAGAAGAUGCUAUCAUGUAUUCUAUGGAUAGCAUGCGACUUUAGUUGUUUUGGUAGCUCAAAAGUAAAAAUUUUGUAUUUAUGUUAAUUUUAUUUUACAAAUAUUGUUUUGAAAACAUGUGUUUGUUGAAGAGACUGUUGGAAAGGGUGGAGAUCACUUUUUAAUCAACAUAACAUCAUGGUUCGAAACAGAGUGAGAAAAACGGAAAAGGGAAACUUUUCCGAAGGUAACAUGUGUGAAGCUGUUGCGUUAGUUCAAAAUGGUUUCAGCUUGCGCAAAGCUGCGACUGCCAAAGGACUAAAAUAUGCAACACUUUGUCGGUAUGUGAAGAAGAAAAAAUUAGCUGGCCCAGAGAUGCAUGUGUUGUAUGUGCUGUCUUUCAUCAUAGAGAGGGUUGGAUUCUCGAUUCGACCAUUUGCCAACUCACUCGUGCAGUACCUCCCACAGCUGUGGCAGCAGUCAGCAGAACACAACAUGCUUCGCUGUGCCAUUGUCUCCACCAUGGUUCACCUGGUGAAGGCCUUCGGCAUGGUGACGGAGACCCUGUACCCAUUCCUGGUCCCCAUGGUGGCCCUGAGCACGGACCUCAGCCAGCCGGCACACGUGUACCUGAUGGAGGACGGCCUGGAGCUGUGGCUGGCCGUGUUGGAGAACUCCUCGCAGGUCACGCCUGAGCUGCUGCAGCUGUUUCGCAACAUGCCUCACCUACUGGAGCACUGCACGGACAACAUCCGCACCUGCUUCUACAUCAUCCAGGCCAACAUCCUUCUGGCCCCGGACCUCUUCUUGAAGACGUACGGGGAGCCCAUCAUCAUGCACUGUGAUGACAUACUGUCCGACAUGCGCAGUGAAGGCGUGGUCCUGACCAUGCGGUUGGUGGAGACGUACCUCCGAGCCGCACCUUCUCUUGCGACAGACGUGGUGAAGCCCAUCUUGCCGCGAGUGUUCCUGGCUGUUUACAAGGGGGAGGAAUACCCCAUGGUGAUGUCAAUGUACUUGUCGGUAAUGUCCAGAGUACUUCUCAAUUCCCUUCAGGCAUUUAGUCAAUUCACUGUUUUUCCAGUGCAGUUCUGGAGAGGUUCUGCGGCAUUGUUCUCUGUGUCACCGAAGCACUAAAUGACGUGAUGAAGAUUGAUGAAGAAGGAAGUUUAUAUGAUUCUUUAAUGUUCUCGAAUAAUCAUUUGAGCUCUGCAAGUGAAGAUAAUGUGGACUACGAAACUGAGCACGAUCAUCGACGCAAGCUGCUGUCAGCUACAGAUCCUGUGUACACUACUGUCUUGCGAAACUACUUUCAAAGACAGGUGGCAGAACUGCAAAGUCAAGUUGGCCCAGUUCAGUUCGAACAACUGAUCCAAACCAUUGAUGUUGAGACACUACAGCAGGCAAGGGCAUUC